GAGGGUAUGGCUCAGUGGUAGAAUUCAUGCUUAGCACGCACAAGGUCCUGGGUUCAAUUCCCAGUGCCUCCA
rnacentral:tRNA from 1 species